rnacentral:rRNA from 1 species
AGCGAACGCUGGCGGCAGGCUUAACACAUGCAAGUCGAGCGGGCAUAGCAAUAUGUCAGCGGCAGACGGGUGAGUAACGCGUGGGAACGUACCUUUUGGUUCGGAACAACUGAGGGAAACUUCAGCUAAUACCGGAUAAGCCCUUACGGGGAAAGAUUUAUCGCCGAAAGAUCGGCCCGCGUCUGAUUAGCUAGUUGGUGAGGUAAUGGCUCACCAAGGCGACGAUCAGUAGCUGGUCUGAGAGGAUGAUCAGCCACAUUGGGACUGAGACACGGCCCAAACUCCUACGGGAGGCAGCAGUGGGGAAUAUUGGACAAUGGGCGCAAGCCUGAUCCAGCCAUGCCGCGUGAGUGAUGAAGGCCCUAGGGUUGUAAAGCUCUUUUGUGCGGGAAGAUAAUGACGGUACCGCAAGAAUAAGCCCCGGCUAACUUCGUGCCAGCAGCCGCCGUAA